GGUUUAGUUGCUGAGCUGGUCUUGCUGCACUGAUUUUUUGAGAUUGUCUUCACCUGUAUACAUGCAUCAAGUUCCCUGUGAAUGACUGACCUGAGGGAAGAGAAUGCAAAGUUUAGCAUCAUCUGCUAUGCUUGGAGGGCUGUGGGACAUGUUUCUCCCUAACAGCUCUAGGAGUGCUGGAGAAAACCCUUUGUAGCCUAUCUGUCAGAUUUCUUGGAGAGGGAAAUGCACUCACUGUAACUGGAGGAGCUGGAUGAAGAAGAAAAAGUCUGAAAGAAAGCCAGGAAGCAAAGAAGUCUGGGAGAGAUUCUCCUCAAACAUCUCAGGAUGGAAGGAACAUUAGCAGCUUCCCUGAUGGUGUAACCUGCUGCUGCCUCUUUUAUCAUUUCCUGCUAUC